AAGUCGUAACAAGGUCUCCGUUGGUGAACCAGCGGAGGGAUCAUUACAAGAAGCCGAAAGGCUACUUAAAACCAUCGCGAACUUAUCCAAGUUGCUUCGGCGGCGCGGUACCCCUCACAGGGCGCCGCAGCCUCGCCUCUUAGGAGGUAUGGGGCACCCGCCGGAGGUACGAAACUCUGUAUUAUAGUGGCAUCUCUGAGUAAAAACAAAUAAGUUAAAA
rnacentral:misc_RNA from 1 species